rnacentral:rRNA from 1 species
AGAGUUUGAUCCUGGCUCAGAUUGAACGCUGGCGGCAGGCCUAACACAUGCAAGUCGAGCGGUAACAGGAAUUAGCUUGCUAAUUUGCUGACGAGCGGCGGACGGGUGAGUAAUGCUUGGGAAUAUGCCUUUUGGUGGGGGACAACAGUUGGAAACGACUGCUAAUACCGCAUAAUAUCUACGAGUAGGGGACCUUCGGGCCUUACGCCAAAAGAUUAGCCCAAGUGGGAUUAGCUAGUUGGUGAGGUAAUGGCUCACCAAGGCGACGAUCCCUAGCUGGUCUGAGAGGAUGAUCAGCCACACUGGAACUGAGACACGGUCCAGACUCCUACGGGAGGCAGCAGUGGGGAAUAUUGCACAAUGGGCGCAAGCCUGAUGCAGCCAUGCCGCGUGUGUGAAGAAGGCCUUCGGGUUGUAAAGCACUUUCAGUUGGGAGGAAAAGUUAACGGUUAAUACCCGUUAGCCGUGACGUUACCAACAGAAGAAGCACCGGCUAACUUCGUGCCAGCAGCCGCGGUAAUACGAGGGGUGCAAGCGUUAAUCGGAAUUACUGGGCGUAAAGCGUACGCAGGCGGUUGGUUAAGCGAGAUGUGAAAUCCCCGGGCUCAACCUGGGAACUGCAUUUCGAACUGGCCAACUAGAGUAUGAGAGAGGGUGGUAGAAUUUCAGGUGUAGCGGUGAAAUGCGUAGAUAUCUGAAGGAAUACCGAUGGCGAAGGCAGCCACCUGGUUCAAUACUGACGCUCAUGUACGAAAGCGUGGGGAGCAAACAGGAUUAGAUACCCUGGUAGUCCACGCCGUAAACGAUGUCUACUAGCAGCUCGGGUCAUACGACUGGUUUUGCGCAGCUAACGCGUUAAGUAGACCGCCUGGGGAGUACGGCCGCAAGGUUAAAACUCAAAUGAAUUGACGGGGGCCCGCACAAGCGGUGGAGCAUGUGGUUUAAUUCGAUGCAACGCGAAGAACCUUACCAUCCCUUGACAUCCAGAGAAGAGACUAGAGAUGGGGCUUCCUCUUCGGAGGCUCGGUGACAGGUGCUGCAUGGCUGUCGUCAGCUCGUGUCGUGAGAUGUUGGGUUAAGUCCCGCAACGAGCGCAACCCUUGUCCUUAGUUGCCAGCAGGUUAAGCUGGGCACUCUAGGGAGACUGCCGGUGAUAAGCCGGAGGAAGGUGGGGAUGACGUCAAGUCCUCAUGGCCUUUAUACCUAGGGCUACACACGUGUUACAAUGGGACCUACAGAGGGCUGCGAAACCGCGAGGUGUAGCGAAUCCCUUAAAAGGUCUCCCAGUUCGGAUUGCAGUCUGCAACUCGACUGCAUGAAGUUGGAAUCGCUAGUAAUCGCGGAUCAGAACGCCGCGGUGAAUACGUUCCCGGGCCUUGUACACACCGCCCGUCACACCAUGGGAGUUGACAGGGGCAGAAGUCGUUGAGCCAACCUUCGGGAGGCAGACGCCCAAGCUCUUGUCGAUGACUGGGGUGAAGUCGUAACAAGGUAACC